CUACGGGGUUACUGAUGACUAAAUAUCUGAAUGAGGAAAUUCAGCAUUAUUGCGUCAGAUGAUGGCGUAAUGGUGUGCACUUUUCUUCUAGUAAGACGUUGCGAUCCAUUAGAAAAGUUUGAAAUCUGUAUAUAGGCCCGGAAAGGAAUUUAUACCUUUAACGAGUAACAUGGCUUUGUUGUUAUGUGAAUGCGUGUAAACUAUUUGGUGUUCUUACAGAUGUCUGAAGGUAUUAUGACUAAAUGUCCCAUACCAUCUUCGGAUUGAUAUCUCUUGGGGAUAUGAUGUGUACAUUAUCGGCAACGUUUUAAAUUUAAGAUACCAUCAGGACCCGUCUUGAAACACGGACCAAGAAAUCUAACUUGUAUGCCAGUCAAUGGGAUUAUUAAAACCUAUAGGCGAAAUGAAAUUAACUUGUUAAUGGGAUUACCAAUGGUAUUAAUUGUACUAUUUUUCCAUCCCCGGGUAUCUUAAUGUAAGUACUUGUACUACAAAGAUAUACCGUGAGCAUACCAGCUGUGACCCGAAAGAUGGUGAACUAUGCCUGAUCAGGUUGAAGUCCGGGGAAACCCUGAUGGAAGAACGUAACAAUUCUGACGUGCAAAUCCAUUGGCAGAGUUGGGUAUAGGGGCGAAAGACCAAUCCAACCAUCUAGUAACUGUUUCCCUUCCAAAA
rnacentral:rRNA from 1 species